rnacentral:lncRNA from 10 species
GGAUAAUGCUACACAGACAUAAUUGAUUUUAUAAUUACUAUUGAAAUUUGAUUUUUUUUAUUAUUUUCUUUUUUAAGGGGAAGAAAUUGACUAUCAAGACCUGGAAAAUAUUCUGAAAAACAUAGGGUUAAGACUCCAACUAAAGGAAAACUCGGUAUUGAUGAAAAGUUUGCCACUUGAUGCUGCUGGAAAGUUGUAUAAGCAUAAGUUGCUGGAUGGUAUAAGGUCUCUCAAAGGAGUGAAGCUUAGUGUUGAUAAACUAGAACCUUUCAUGGAACAUAUGGGCUUUGAGCUUGAGGAAGAGGAAUACCAAGAUCUGAAAAAUAACCUGCCCAUUGAUGAUGAGGGAAGAGUUAAUGUGAAUGUGGUGAUGGAUGAAGGAUAUCUUUUUACAGGUGAGAAGGUUGAUGCUAGGAACCUGGAAAAUUUUCUGGAAAAUAUGGGGAUAAAUCUCACAGAAGAUAAAGGCAUGCAACUGCUGAAUAAUCUUCCAAUUGAUGCCAAAGGAAAGAUAUAUGUGAACAGAUUGAUGAAAGAAUUGAGAGGUCUUGAAGGAACAAAAGUGUCUUCAGAUAAGAUGGAAAUUUUCAUGAAAAGCAUGGGAAUUGAUCUCAAGGAGAAAGAAAUCCAGGCACUGAAGGACCACCUACCAGUUGAUGAUAAUGGGAAGACUGAUUUGAAUACGAUGAUGGAUGAAGUUAAAAAUGUUACAGGAGAGAAGAUUCAUGCUGGGGAUGUGAAAAAUGUUCUGGAAAACAUGGGAAUAGAGAUCACAAAUAAGGAGCACAAAAAGCUUCUGAAAACUCUGCCAGUUUCUGCUGACAAAAAGGUGUUUAAGAAAGAAUUAUUGGAUGGUGUGAAAUCCUUCAGAGGAGGGCAGGUUAAUGUCAAUGACCUAACGAGUGUUUUACAAAACACUGGGUUCAGACUCGAAGAAAAAGAAAUCAAGGACCUGAAGAGUCACCUGCCAGUGACUGAAAAUGAAAAGGUUGACCUGGAUGUCUUGAUGGAUGCAGCAAAAGCAUUUACAGGAGAAAAGGUUGAAGCUGAUAACCUUAAAAAUGUGCUGAGAAACAUGGGGAUCGAGCUAACAGAAAAAGAACACUCGAUGCUGUUAAAAACUCUGCCAGUCUGUGAUGGAAAGGUGUACAAGAAAAAAUUACUGGAUAGUGUGAAGCCUCUCAAAGGAAAAAAAGUCAGUGUCAGUAAUCUGGAAACUCUUCUAAAUAAUAUGGAAAUCGAAGUUGGGAAAGAGGAAUAUGAGGACCUACUGAACCAUCUGCCAGUUGAUGAAAAUGAAAUGGUUGAUGUGAAUGUGGUGAUGGAUGAAGCAAAAGCUUUUACAGGAGAAAAAGUUAAUGUCAGUAAUCUGGGGAAUGAGCUGAGGAAAAUGGGGCUCGUACUCACUGAUGAGGAGCACAAGAAGCUGCUGAAAACUCUGCCAAUUUGCACUAAUGGAAAGGUAUAUAAGAAUAGAUUGCUCAAAGGUGUGAAGGCCCUCAAUGGGCCAAGGGUCAAAAUCAAAAAAGUGGAGACAUUUUUGGAAAACAUGGGAACUAAAAUCAAGGAUGAGGAACUUGAGGAACUCAUGACCCAACUACCAACUGAGGGUGAGUAUUACAAAUAUCUCUAUGCUC